CAUUGAGUGGCACGUGAGAUCUUAGGUCCCAGACCAGGGAUUGAACCCAUGCCCUGUGUUGUAGAAAGGAGGAAUCUUAACCAGUGAACCACCAUUGGAGUCUCUUGAUUGAGUUGUUUUUCUGAGAAUAAAUUUGAAGAUGUUUUAUCUGCAUUUUUGCAAACUGUACAUUUCCAAGUAAAAGAUGAGACUUCCACUUCUCCAGAACUGAGAUUCUCAGCAUCAACCUCCCUGACAUUUUGGGCCAGAUAUUCGAAGUUGGGAUUUUCUCUGCUGCUGCUGCUGCUAAGUCGCUUCAGUCGUGUCCGACUCUGUGCGACCCCAUAGACCGCAGCCCACCAGGCUCCUCCCUCCCUGGGAUUCUCCAGGCAAGAACACUAGAGUGGGUU
ensembl:lncRNA